rnacentral:rRNA from 1 species
UACAGAGGUCCCAAGCGUUGUUCGGAUUCACUGGGCGUAAAGGGUGCGUAGGCGGUCGGGUAAGUUUGAUGUGAAAUCUCCGAGCUCAACUCGGAAAUGGCAUUGAAUACUAUUCGGCUAGAGAGUCGGAGGGGGGACUGGAAUACUUGGUGUAGCAGUGAAAUGCGUAGAUAUCAAGUGGAACACCAGUGGCGAAGGCGAGUCCCUGGACGAUUUCUGACGCUGAGGCACGAAAGCUAGGGGAGCAAACAGG